rnacentral:rRNA from 1 species
GUCUGCAACCCGACUACAUGAAGCCGGAAUCGCUAGUAAUCGCGGAUCAGAAUGCCGCGGUGAAUACGUUCCCGGGUCUUGUACACACCGCCCGUCACACCAUGGGAGUCGGGAAUGCCCGAAGUCAGUGACCCAACCCAAGGGAGGGAGCUGCCGAAGGCAGGCCUGGUGACUGGGGUGAAGUCGUAACAAGGUACC